rnacentral:lncRNA from 1 species
AUAUGAGACACAAUUGUACACAAGAAGAAAUGAAAAGAAGUCUGCUAGGAAUCCUUGCAGACUAAAAGGAGAUACAUGAGAGAGACUUUCUUUCUGUCUCUGGACAUUGUCAUCUGUCUGGAGUACCUAGAACUGCAGCAGUCUUCAUAGAAUCAUGAGAGUAAGCUUUUGUGUUUUAGAUAAAGUGGCAGAUCUGAUUUGUUGAUAGCAAUUCCCUGGAGUGUUGCAUUGAGAAGAUUCUGAGGCCUUGGUCUACUAUCUGUGACUGCCAUGGAAUCCUGAGUGGAGCGAAAUUAAGUUCCCAGACUUGUUAUACCCUCCUGACUUGUUCUCCCCUUCCUUGGGAAGGGCAUCUGUUCCAGGCAGGUAACACCUGUCAUCCUGGCUGGUCUAGGUAACACCCAAUGUCAUGGCUGGGCAUUGGCUUUUUUCCUUAUCACACACACUUCUAAAGUGUCCACAGCUGAUGCGACAGUGGCACAGUAAAUGUAGGUUGUCCUCCCUGUGACUCGGCCUCCACUUGGUUCUCUUGAUCCUGUUGUGCUCUCUCUCUCAGCCCCAACUUUUGGCUCAUCCAUACUAAGACUCUGCCACAGUGUCCCCUCAAACCACAUCACAAUGAUCCCAUGCAAAUAACUGGUUCUGACUUCUUAACUACCUUCCUCUACUCUACCACAGGGCAUUGAACAUUUUCAGAUCUCACACACACCCACUGGACCUGAGGGAAACUCAGAGACAGAGUACUGGGGAAUAUCUCAAAUCCUUUCCACUCAAAAUGCCAGCAUACUGCUCAACUGAGGCCACCUCAUGUUGGCAUGGGGCACCCCAACAGACAAGUGGUCUCUUCCCAGGAUUUAGAUCCUGUUUUUAGAUCUCCAGCCCUCUCCACUCCUUGAUGGGUUCUACACAAAGCAGGAGGGAAGGGGCAGGUAGAGGAUAAUCAUUCUAUCUUCAACCUGUUCAGAGUGUUGAUGUGAAUCCUUAGAGUAUCCAAGGAGAAAAUGUACAUAAGACAUUAAGCAUGGGGCCUGGCACAGAGAAAGUGCUCUAUCCAUCUUACAAAGAUUAAAGUAUCCUCAUCAGCUAGCACAGUCUAA